rnacentral:lncRNA from 1 species
UGUGACCGUAAAUUCAUAGGUAUUUUGUAGGGAAAUGUGUCUUUUGAGAGUUUAUUGUUUGUAGCUCAUAAUUGAAAUACCAAACUGAAGAUUAUUAAUUUUAAAACUAUAUCUUUUGUCACUUCUCUUCUUGCUUCUUAAGGGAGUGGAGCUUUCAUCCAGGUUCAUGCUCAAUGCUGGUCAGAUUUGCCAGGCUUGGCUGUGAAUUGUUGGCUAAAUAGCAAUUCAACUUUACCUCUAUUGUCAGAAAUUUUCCAUGGCAUGUCCUGCUUGUCUCUCAGUUGAAGAAUAGGCUUACUUAUGGCCUUUUCAUUUUCCAUAAGCCUGCUUAUUGGUGCAACAAUUUACAAAAACGUAGUGCUGUACCCUGUAUGCUGUGGUCCUGCGUUAGUUGGGAAUUGGCGUGAACCUAUUGAUUGGUCAGGCCUGGUGACAUUUCCACAAAUUUUUCACAUAAAAAGCAAGAUAGUUAAUGUGCAUGAAUUCAUAGUUUGCCGAGUUUUGUGGUGUUUACUCCCCC